rnacentral:lncRNA from 1 species
CUUUGGAAAUGGGAUGCUUCCAAGCGGCCACUGGAAAGGAACGAAUUGCUAGAGGUCUGGAAGAAUAUUCCAGUUGUAUAAUAAGGCAACUGGAACUACUGAUGUCUUGUUUUGACUGUGAAAGGAACGAACUGCAUGAGGUCUUGAAGAAUAUUCCAGUUGUAGAACAAGCAGCAAAAAUAGUGUUCAAUAUCAUCUAUGAUAUGCUCUAUAUAUUGUUGUGUUUUACUUUUUCUUGUUCACGUGUUAUAUAUCUGGAAGCAAUAAGUUCAGUUGUUUUGACUGCGUGCCCCGGGGCUUAAAUAGUCUGUGAUGAAACUACUGAUGUUCUGAUGCAACCUCUUUGUCUUGUUUUGUUGCCCCUCUCAGUCAUUCUCUGCUACUGAUGAUCACUCAAAUGAAAAUCUUUCCAAUUAUAAAAACCACCCUUCUGGUGAAAACACAUAAUGACCUUGCUAGUUUCUUGUUCUUAUUACUCUUUCGUUUUAAUUUAGGUAAUGCAACGAGGCUACGAAGAUUUUACUCUUCUGUGGAAGAUGAAUCAGACAUUUUCCUCUUGAGUUGGAAAAACUGUAUCUUGGCAUGGCAGCUCAGACGUGUCUUUGAGAUUUGAAGAAAAAGUUCCAUUUUUGGUGUUUCUUCUGUCUCAUAAGGCUACUGUUGCUUGCAGCCAUUGCAGGUUUUAAAGCUCCUCAGACUGUCUUGAGUUAGAAAAUAGCACAGGUCCUCUAAUCUUUGAUACCUGAACUGUGUUUGCUUAGUCUUCUUAUUUUUUGGAAGUGUUCACCAGUUUUUGUUCCUUGACAGAGUGAGUAGUAACAUGAGACAAUUGUUUCUUUUGACACAAUUAUUUUAUAAUUUCAGGUCAUACUGUCUGAUAUUGGAUAAUUUAGCGGGUGAAAGAUUUAAAAAUGAUGAAAAGUUGCGGAAAUCAUUUGAAGACCAUCAUUUGGAUUAGUUAUAUAAUGACAUUAGCUAUUUAGUCUAAAUUAUAUAUUUUUAUGUUUUCAGUUAAUGUGAUAUUAAUGUUUUUAAUUAGUACUUCCUUUUGUUUGUUAAGAUUAAUA